rnacentral:rRNA from 1 species
GCCCGCUCAGAAACUUAAAUAGAAUUGACGGGGGCCCGGCGACAAGCGGUGGAGUAUGUGGUUUAAUUCGAUGCAACGCGAAGAACUUACCCGGUCUUGACAUCCCGGAGACCCUUAGGAAACUAGGGGUGCUUCCAUCUGGAAGAAUCUGGAGACAGGUGCUGCAUGGCUGUCGUCAGCUCGUGUCGUGAGAUGUUGGGUUAAGUCCCGCAACGAGCGCAACCCUUGCCUUUAGUUGCCAGCAGUUCGGCUGGGCACUCUAAAGGGACUGCCGGUGUUAAACCGGAGGAAGGUGGGGAUGACGUCAAGUCCUCAUGGCCUUUAUGACCAGGGCUACACACGUACUACAAUGGCCGAUACAAAGGGCAGCGACACUGCGAGGUGAAGCCAAUCCCGUAAAAUCGGUCUCAGUCCGGAUUGGAGUCUGCAACUCGACUCCAUGAAGUUGGAAUCGCUAGUAAUCGUGGAUCAGCAUGCCACGGUGAAUACGUUCCCGGGCCUU